rnacentral:rRNA from 1 species
UACGGAGGGUGCGAGCGUUGUCCGGAAUCAUUGGGCGUAAAGGGCGCGUAGGUGGCCCGGUCAGUUCGUGGUGAAAGCGCGGGGCUCAACCCUGCGUCGGCCAUGAAUACUGCCGCGGCUGGAGCACUGUAGAGGCAGGCGGAAUUCCGGGUGUAGCGGUGGACUGCGUAGAGAUCCGGAAGAACACCGGUGGCGAAGGCGGCCUGCUGGGCAGUUGCUGACACUGAGGCGCGACAGCGUGGGGAGCAAACAGG